AUUGAACGCUGGCGGCAUGCCUUACACAUGCAAGUCGAACGGCAGCAUAGGAGCUUGCUCCUGCUGGCGAGUGGCGAACGGGUGAGUAAUAUAUCGGAACGUGCCCUAGAGUGGGGGAUAACUAGUCGAAAGAUUAGCGACUACCGCAUACGAUCUACGGAUGAAAGUGGGGGAUCGCAAGACCUCAUGCUCCUGGAGCGGCCGAUAUCUGAUUAGCUAGUUGGUGAGGUAAAAGCUCACCAAGGCGACGAUCAGUAGCUGGUCUGAGAGGACGACCAGCCACACUGGGACUGAGACACGGCCCAGACUCCUACGGGAGGCAGCAGUGGGGAAUUUUGGACAAUGGGGGCAACCCUGAUCCAGCAAUGCCGCGUGAGUGAAGAAGGCCUUCGGGUUGUAAAGCUCUUUUGUCAGGGAAGAAACGGUUGAGGCUAAUAUCCUCGACUAAUGACGGUACCUGAAGAAUAAGCACCGGCUAACUACGUGCCAGCCGCCGCCGUAA
rnacentral:rRNA from 1 species